rnacentral:rRNA from 1 species
UGAGACCUGAUGCCGAGCCGAUUGUGGUGAAGUGGAUGAUCCUAUGCUGUCGAGAAAAGCCUCUAGCGAGUUUCAUGGCGGCCCGUACCCUAAACCGACUCAGGUGGUCAGGUAGAGAAUACCGAGGCGUUCGGGUGAACUAUGGUUAAGGAACUCGGCAAAAUGCCCCCGUAACUUCGGGAGAAGGGGGGCCACACCUGGUGAUCACUCUUGCAGUGUGAGCUGGGGGUGGCCGCAGAGACCAGCGAGAAGCGACUGUUUACUAAAAACACAGGUCCGUGCGAAGCCGUAAGGCGAUGUAUACGGACUGACGCCUGCCCGGUGCUGGAACGUUAAGGGGACCGGUUAGUGCGCUUUCGGGCGUGCGAAGCUGAGAACUUAAGCGCCAGUAAACGGCGGUGGUAACUAUAACCAUCCUAAGGUAGCGAAAUUCCUUGUCGGGUAAGUUCCGACCUGCACGAAUGGCGUAACGACUUCUCGACUGUCUCAACCAUAGGCCCGGUGAAAUUGCACUACGAGUAAAGAUGCUCGUUUCGCGCAGCAGGACGGAAAGACCCCGGGACCUUUACUACAGUUUGAUAUUGGUGUUCGGUUCGGCUUGUGUAGGAUAGCUGGGAGACUGUGAAGCUCGGACGCCAGUUCGGGUGGAGUCGUCGUUGAAAUACCAGUCUGGUCGUGCUGGAUGUCUAACCUGGGUCCGUGAUCCGGAUCAGGGACAGUGUCUGAUGGGUAGUUUAACUGGGGCGGUUGCCUCCUAAAGGGUAACGGAGGCGCCCAAAGGUUCCCUCAGCCUGGUUGGCAAUCAGGUGUUGAGUGUAAGUGCACAAGGGAGCUUGACUGUGAGACCGACGGGUCGAGCAGGGACGAAAGUCGGGACUAGUGAUCCGGCGGUGGCUUGUGGAAGCGCCGUCGCUCAACGGAUAAAAGGUACCCCGGGGAUAACAGGCUGAUCUUCCCCAAGAGUCCAUAUCGACGGGAUGGUUUGGCACCUCGAUGUCGGCUCGUCGCAUCCUGGGGCUGGAGUCGGUCCCAAGGGUUGGGCUGUUCGCCCAUUAAAGCGGUACGCGAGCUGGGUUUAGAACGUCGUGAGACAGUUCGGUCCCUAUCCGCUGUGCGCGUAGGAGUCUUGAGAAGGGCUGUCCCUAGUACGAGAGGACCGGGACGGACGAACCUCUGGUGUGCCAGUUGUUCUGCCAAGGGCAUGGCUGGUUGGCUACGUUCGGGAGGGAUAACCGCUGAAAGCAUCUAAGCGGGAAGCCUGCUUCGAGAUGAGGACUCCCACCCACUUGAUGGGGUAAGGCUCCCAGUAGACGACUGGGUUGAUAGGCCGGAUCUGGAAGCACCGUGAGGUGUGGAGGUGACCGGUACUAAUAGGCCGAGGGCUUGUCCUC